GUGAUAAUAAUUUAGAAAAAUAAUGAUUUAGAAGAUUAUAAAACAUAUUUAAAACUAAAUCAAUUAGUUUCAACGAACCCUUCUUUUAAUAUAUAAUAAUAUAUAAUUAUAAUAAUUAUAAUAUAUAUUAAAUAUAAUAAUAUAUAAUUAUAAUAUAUAUUAAAAAAUAAAUUUAUUUUUAUUAUU
rnacentral:tRNA from 1 species